UGCCCAGCAACUCCUAUCCAUACCUCCUCGUGGUACCGGCCGGAAACUAUGAGCAACCUUAGGGAAGAUCGGGUAACCAAUCCCGGUGGGAACUUUGGUCGUAGGCUGACAGGGAAGG
rnacentral:ribozyme from 1 species